GCACCGGUGGUGUAUGGAACACGCACCGUCAUUCAUCAUUAGGGAUCGAGUGAAUUGAUCGUGGUAACACGGGGUUCGAUUCCCCGCCGGUGCA